rnacentral:rRNA from 1 species
UACGUAGGGGGCAGGCGUUAUCCGGAUUUACUGGGUGUAAAGGGAGCGUAGACGGUAAUGUAAGUCUGAUGUGAAAGCCCGGGGCUCAACCCCGGGACUGCAUUGGAAACUAUGUAACUAGAGUACCGGAGAGGUAAGCGGAAUUCCUAGUGUAGCGGUGAAAUGCGUAGAUAUUAGGAGGAACACCAGUGGCGAAGGCGGCUUACUGGACGGAAACUGACGUUGAGGCUCGAAAGCGUGGGGAGCAAACAGG